UACGGGGGGGGCAAGCGUUGUUCGGAAUUACUUGGGCGUAAAGGGCUCGUAGGCGGCCAACUAAGUCAGACGUGAAAUCCCUCGGCUUAACCGGGAACUGCGUCUGAUACUGGAUGGCUUGAGGUUGGGAGAGGGAUGCGGAAUUCCAGGUGUAGCGGUGAAAUGCGCAGAUAUCGGGAGGAACACCGGUGGCGAAGGCGGUUCUCUGGGCCUGUACUGACGCGAGGAGCGAAAGCGUGGG
rnacentral:rRNA from 1 species